UAAUAUCCAAGUUCAUAAAUUAAGUUUUAACAAUACAUCCAAAAUAACAAUAUUACAUCGUCCUCCAACAUCUAAAAAUGAAAUCCACAUACACAAUAUCCGAAAGUCCAAGACAUCCAAAUUCCAAAAAUCAAAUACUCCAAAACAACAUAAACAUGACAUCCGCAAUAAAUUUCAAAUUAAAACCACAUCCAACGCCCAAGUUCCAACAACAAUCCUCAAUUCCUCAUUGAAUCUAUAAGCAAAAAUAGAAUAUAAACAUCAUAUUAUCCUCAUUGAAAUUUAAAGUUUAUUCAUUUGAGUUUAAAAUAUUACCGCAAUUCCUUUUCCUUUGUUCGUUCGAGUUGUUUGAGGAGCUUCAAUUUCAGGAACACUUGAUGAAAUGGUUGAACUUGUAGAUAUAAUAUUUGCUUUUCUUCUUUUAUAUUCUACAACAAAGAACAAAAGUUAAUUGUAAACCAAUUAAUAUAAACUUAUAAACCAAACUAUACAAAACAAAAUAAUUACCUUCUUCACACUCUUGAUAAAAUUCAAGCUCUGCAGGACUUGCUUCAUAUUCAAUGUUGCCAAUUGGUUCACUUCUUAACCAGUUUUGGAGGCACAUCAAUGACUCCACUGUUUGAGGAAGGAGACAUGAUCUAUAGGGGUACUUUGACUUUGAGAGUGAGACAUAAUGUAGAAAGAAAUCUGUAAAUAUAUAAAACCAAACUGCACAUAUAUCAAAACUGCACAUAUAUAAUCAAAACUGCACAUAUAAAAAUCAAAACUGCACAUGUAUAAAAUAAAUCAAAACUGCACAUGUAUAAAUCAAAACUGCACAUAUAAGUAUAACAAGGAACUUGAGGACAUGAAUUUGAAAUUACCUUCUCGUUUAAGGAAUUGAGAAAUCAACCAACUAAUCCCAGAAUAGUUAGCUCAGUCUUGCUCCUCAAAGAAUGUAUGCUCGAUCUAUAUAAAACCAAACUGCACAUAUAUCAAAACUGCACAUAUAUAAAUCAAAACUGCACAUGUAUAAAUCAAAACUGCACAUAUAUAAAAACUGCACAUAUAAGUAAAACAAAACACACACACACACACACACACACAGAACAUACACACACACACGCACAUACACACAUACACACACAGAACAUAC
rnacentral:lncRNA from 1 species